CUCCCGGAUGGACCUUAGAUUUAUAUUGCAGCCUUGCUUCAGGAUCUCUCUCUUCCUGCUCUGGAUGGACCUUGAGUUUUUGUCUGGAAAAUCACCCUCACUGAAAUAUUUGCUUUGGGAGCGUGGUUUGGAAAUGUGGAUUUUAUUUUGAUUCUGUGAUCUGCAGGCUCAAGAAGGAUUCAGAAAAACUGCUGGAAAAGACAACCUAUUAUUUUAAAAUCAGCAUUGGGGAGUUCCUGCUGAAGUUCCAUGUGAAGUUAUAGCAGAAACACUGGGAGGAGCAACACAGCUGGAGGCAGGUCCAUAGCAAACAUCAAAUGUCAAGCAGUCACUCAAGAAGCAGUUGUGGGGAGCGCUGAAACAACAUACUGUGCAGGUAGAAAUACCUGUUGGCGUGUUCUUUGAAAGAAGCAGGUGGCAGCAGCCUCACCUCAAACCAAAAGUAGGCUGUAUAGACACCAUGAAGUCUGAUAUGCUGAUCAGUGAGGCCUACUGUGAAGAUGGAUCAUGUUGGAGACAGAGCAUCCCAUCCUGAGAGGGCCUGGGGCUGAGCUGAGGACCACCACAGAGGUACCCAGGGCAGCACUGGUUAGCUUUGUCCGACUGCUUCUGACUGCAGCAAACGGGGUGAGAAAGUAUGGAAUGGAGUGUGGUGAAACUGCUCAGGGAUCCUACAGUGCACCUACCAGUACAAAUAGAAAAGUUAAUUCAAAAGGAGAUGAAGACUGGCAGAAGAUAAGAUGCUUCAGCCUGGAAAGGAGUGGAAAAUCUCACCCUGUGGAGGAGACAGGUGGAAACAGAGGAAAGGAGUAUGAGCUGGGAACUUCCAGAAAACAAAAAUCACCAGCUAAACCUUGGCGUGCCUUGGGAUUACCUUGCUCUCUGGUGGAGAACAGGAAACCUCGCUCCUGGUAAAGGCAGUGGAAAUGUCCACAGCGAAGACCAACACUAAAUGACUGCAGAAAGCAACAUGAAAAUCACUUCUUUCAAAAUUCACUCCUUUUGGUGAACACACAGCCUCCACCCUGGCAUAAUUUUGCUUGAAGCGCUGGGUACUGAACUAAAGAGAAGCCAUUUAAGGGAAAAAAGUAUGAACUGUCAAUUAUAUAUGAAAAUCAGAGUUCAUUACUUAAUGCCUCAAUACUUUGAUACUGUAGAGGAUGCUUCAAUAUCAGGAAGUGACUAGGAAAUAAGUGGUCUCUGAGUUUAUUGGGACAUACGCUUCUUUUCCUAAACAAAUAUACUAUACUGAAAAACAGUGUCCUGCGAGGGAGUAACUGGCUAUGGUGUAUACUGGGACUUUGUUCUCUUAUAGCCUUUGGUUCGGCCCUUCAUUUUAUUACUGGGAAAUCUGAAGUCCACACUG